rnacentral:rRNA from 1 species
AUUGAACGCUGGCGGCAUGCUUUACACAUGCAAGUCGAACGGUAACAGGCCUUCGGGUGCUGACGAGUGGCGAACGGGUGAGUAAUGCAUCGGAACGUACCCAGAGGUGGGGGAUAACGCAGCGAAAGCUGUGCUAAUACCGCAUGUGAUCUGAGGAUGAAAGCGGGGGACCGCGCAGCAAUGUCUGGCCUCGCGCCUUUGGAGCGGCCGAUGUCGGAUUAGCUAGUUGGUGGGGUAAAGGCCUACCAAGGCGACGAUCCGUAGCUGGUCUGAGAGGACGACCAGCCACACUGGGACUGAGACACGGCCCAGACUCCUACGGGAGGCAGCAGUGGGGAAUUUUGGACAAUGGGCGCAAGCCUGAUCCAGCAAUGCCGCGUGCGGGAAGAAGGCCUUCGGGUUGUAAACCGCUUUUGGCAGGAACGAAACGGUGUCCGCUAAUACCGGGCGCUAAUGACGGUACCUGCAGAAUAAGCACCGGCUAACUACGUG